rnacentral:rRNA from 1 species
AGGAUGAAGAGUUUGAUCUUGGCUCAGGAUGAACGCUAGCUACAGGCUUAACACAUGCAAGUCGAGGGGCAGCAUGUAGGCGGGCUUGCUCGCCUAUGAUGGCGACCGGCGCACGGGUGAGUAACGCGUAUCCGACCUGCCGCACACUCCGGGAUAGCCUUGCGAAAGCAAGUUUAAUACCGGAUGCCGUCGAGAUGCCGCAUGGUGUCAUGACGAAAGGUUGAUUCCGGUGUGCGAUGGGGAUGCGUCCCAUUAGCUGGUUGGCGGGGUAACGGCCCACCAAGGCGACGAUGGGUAGGGGUUCUGAGAGGAAGGUCCCCCACAUUGGAACUGAGACACGGUCCAAACUCCUACGGGAGGCAGCAGUGAGGAAUAUUGGUCAAUGGGCGUAAGCCUGAACCAGCCAAGUAGCGUGCAGGAUGACGGCCCUAUGGGUUGUAAACUGCUUUUAAGCGGGGAUAAAGUCAGGGACG